rnacentral:rRNA from 1 species
GAUAGCGUAUAGUACCGUGAGGGAAAGGUGAAAAGAACCCCGGGAGGGGAGUGAAAUAGAACCUGAAACCCUGCACUUACAAGCUGUGGAAGCACAUUUCUUGUGUGACCGCGUACUUUUUGUAGAACGGGCCAACGAGUUACGUUAAGUAGCAAGGUUAAGCACUUAAGGUGUGGAGCCGUAGCGAAAGCGAGUUUUAACUGAGCGUUCAGUUACUUGACGUAGACCCGAAACCGGGCGACCUACCCAUGAGCAGGAUGAAGCGAAAGUAAAAUUUCGUGGAGGUCCGAACCCACGAGCGUUGAAAAGCUCGGGGAUGACUUGUGGGUAGCGGUGAAAUUCCAAUCGAGCCCGGAGAUAGCUGGUUCUCCCCGAAAUAGCUUUAGGGCUAGCCUCAAGGUGAGAGAUACGGAGGUAGAGCACUGAAUGUCCUAGGGGGUAUUGCACCUACCGAAGACUAUCAAACUCCGAAUGCCGUCAUCUUAUACUUGGGAGUCAGACUGUGGGUGAUAAGAUUCAUAGUCGAAAGGGCAACAGCCCAGAUCGUCAGCUAAGGUCCCUAAAUGUAAGUUAAGUGGUAAAGGAUGUGGGAUUGCACAGACAACCAGGAUGUUGGCUUAGAAGCAGCCACUCAUUCAAAGAGUGCGUAAUAGCUCACUGGUCGAGUGAUCCUGCGCCGAAGAUUUCCGGGGCUAAAACUU